CCCGAAAACGCCAAACCUGCCGUGAGGCCGGGACGGAAAGCGACGGAUCUCCGAAGGGAGAAGAUGGCCGAGCUGCCGAAG
rfam:Desulfuromonas soudanensis strain WTL chromosome, complete genome.